rnacentral:rRNA from 1 species
UUAUACAGCGAACUGCGAAUGGCUCAUUAUAUAAGUUAUCGUUUAUUUGAUAGUACCUUACUACUUGGAUAACCGUGGUAAUUCUAGAGCUAAUACAUGCUAAAAAUCCCGACUUCGGAAGGGAUGUAUUUAUUAGAUUAAAAACCAAUGCCCUCUGGGCUCCUUGGUGAUUCAUGAUAACUCUUCGAAUCGCACGGCCUUGCGCCGGCGAUGGUUCAUUCAAAUUUCUUCCCUAUCAACUUUCGAUGUUUGGGUAUUGGCCAAACAUGGUUGCAACGGGUAACGGAGGGUUAGGGCUCGACCCCGGAGAAGGAGCCUGAGAAACGGCUACUACAUCCAAGGAAGGCAGCAGGCGCGCAAAUUACCCAAUCCCGAUUCGGGGAGGUAGUGACAAUAAAUACUGAUACAGGGCUCUUUUGGGUCUUGUAAUUGGAAUGAGUACAAUUUAAAUCUCUUAACGAGGAACAAUUGGAGGGCAAGUCUGGUGCCAGCAGCCGCGGUAAUUCCAGCUCCAAUAGCGUAUAUUAAAGUUGUUGUGGUUAAAAAGCUCGUAGUUGAACCUUGGGCCUGGCUGGCCGGUCCGCCUCACCGCGUGCACUGGUCCGGCCGGGCCUUUCCCUCUGUGGAACCCCAUGCCCUUCACUGGGCGUGGCGGGGAAACAGGACGUUUACUUUGAAAAAAUUAGAGUGCUCCAGGCAGGCCUAUGCUCGAAUACAUUAGCAUGGAAUAAUGAAAUAGGACGCGUGGUUCUAUUUUGUUGGUUUCUAGGACCGCCGUAAUGAUUAAUAGGGACAGUCGGGGGCAUCAGUAUUCAAUUGUCAGAGGUGAAAUUCUUGGAUUUAUUGAAGACUAACUACUGCGAAAGCAUUUGCCAAGGAUGUUUUCAUUAAUCAGGAACGAAAGUUAGGGGAUCGAAGACGAUCAGAUACCGUCGUAGUCUUAACCAUAAACUAUGCCGACUAGGGAUCGGACGAUGUUAUUUUUUGACGCGUUCGGCACCUUACGAGAAAUCAAAGUGCUGGCU